CAAUUUUAUUAGCAUAUAUCUGUCUCCUGCAUGUAAUACAUGAUUCUCUCAUACUGACAAGAAUGCUGAGGAAAAUUUGUUAUCUAAUUACUAACUUCGAUUGUGGUUAACAAGAUCAUGUCUUUUAAUAAAAUAAAACAUGCAAAUUCUAACUUGCACAGCACUAUCCUCUGUAAUAGUAAUAUUACUAUUUUACAUGAUUGAUGCUUAUGUUAAUAAUAAUUCUAUAUAUAUUUAUUCACUUGAAAAUAUCAAAUUUAUAUUUAGCGAUGACCCUGAAACUAGUAGAAUUCUAACUUGUUACCGUGUAACAACUAUGCAAGUAUAAAUCUUAAGAUGUGGUAGCCUUGUUAUGCAUGCUUAUCCUUAUGACAUUUCUAAUCAAUGAAAAUAAAAAUCUGUUUGUGGUUAUAGUUCCUCUUCGCUUGUCAUUUGUUAUAUAUGUCGUCUACCUCUUAACUUCUUGCCCAAGCUGGUACUACUGUCCUUGUUGCUUUAAUUUUCGGCUUGCACCAUAACUGAAUCUUACUAUCCUCCAUAGACCAACUCAUGUUUUAAGAAAAUAGCUGAAGUGGGAUGAUGUAACUUGGUACCAUACCAUUUUGGCAUGAAACUAGCACCAGUAUGGGUGCCAGGACAUUGAAACAAUUAAUGGUAUGUGCGGUCCAUAUUUAUCCAUACUGAUGCAUAGAGAGAUACCAUAUGGACCAUAUUGGUCGGUAUUAAUAGUUUUUCAACUUUUUGAAAGCUAUCAGCAUUGGUACGACCAUGAUUUUCAGAGCCAUUCCAAAUCGGACAGUUUGGGGCAUGCCAAACUGGACCGGCGGGGAACUGAGACAGUUCCAGUAGAAAAAACGGCACAUACUGAUGCCGAAGAAGAAAGAGAGGGAAACAAACAAAGAGAGAGAGGAGGAGAGGGAGAGGCCGUAGAAGCCUCUGUGGCUUGGUUCGUCCGAGAGGGCUGCCACAACGAGCAAAAAAGAGAGAGAGAGGGAGGCCAUCGGAGACGGAAGGACAGGAUGGGGAGGGGCCGCUGGAGGUCUCCGAGUGGCUGUCGUGGCCAUUGGAUGGAGUCGCGGCCAUAAAACAAGGGUGAUUGCCUCUGUUCAUGCGUCGGCCAUUUUUUUAAAAAGGAAGAUGAACAGUGAAUCCGACAAUUGGUUUGCCGGCUUCACUUUUCAAGAAUUUUUUUAAAAAAAAAAUGAAAACAGUAAAGUCGGCAAUUGGUUUGCUGGCUUCACUAUUUUAAUACUUUUUUAAAAAAGUCUAGGAACAAUGAAGUCGGCAAACCCAUUACCGGCUUCACUGUUGUCGGACUUUUUUAAAAAUGCCCCUGUUUCAUGGCUGUGGAGCCGGAUGUGGUAUUUACGCCGUCCGAUGGCCACGGUGGCCAGUCGGAGGCCCUCCGAUGGUUUCUCAGCCAGAACCCCCUCGGUCCGGUUCUUCCCCCCUCUCCUUUUCUCUUUUCUCCCAUGGACGAUUAUCCUCUGCGGCCCUACGAGGGCCUGCGCAGCCCUCAAGUGGCUACCGGUGGCCUCUCCAUCGCUUCAACCUCCUUCCCUCCCCUCCUCUCUCUUUCUCUUCCUCUCUUUCUCCCAUUUUGUCCUCUCCGGUUCAUCUCUUCCUCCUUUCGUCAGUUCGUGCUGAUCCGGUCCAGUACGGAGCCGUGCUAGACCGUGCCGCCGGUCGGCUGAAACAGCCACCGGUACCGGUAUUCAAAACUUUGGUACAGACCAUUGGUGUAGGUACCAUAUUGAUACCAUACUGUUCUGAUGGAAACAGCGUAGGGUUUGUUACCAAUAUUUAAAGUUUUCGACCAACUUGUCUGGGUCUUAAUUGUACACAUAAUCAGGAAGCCUUGUCCACCUAUUGGUAUUGCCACUUUGACCAUCAUGUUGGAUGCAAUAUUUAAUAUUUUGUCAUCUUUGUUUUUGUCCAUCGGAUUGUGUACGGGCCUUAGAGACCAUGGAACCUAAGUUAGGUCAGCCUGGGGCUAUAAAGGGCGAUAUAUGGUUUUACUAGUUUUUGUUUUUGCUUUUCUUCAUUGCUUCGGGGUUGAAUGUAAAAACAUCUGGAACACCACAAUGUUCUUAUUGGCUUAAGUGUUCAGGAAAAAAAAAAGUGAAAAGUGUGGAUUUUGUUGAAAAACUCAGAUCUUAAUAAACAAUUUGGUUUAGGGUUUCCAUAAAGUCUGAUUGAAAGUUUUGCCACAUAAGUUCCUUUUUCAAUGUUAAAUUCUGAAAAUAGAUAUCUGAUCUGCUACACUAAAACAGACUACGAAAGGAAAAACUACCCUUUACAUAAAAAUGCUAUUAAAAAAUUAUUUCAUGUAUUCUUUGCAGUUUUGCGUAACGUGGGACCGUUCUAUCUCACUUAUGGGGGAUUUAGCCACUUCAUAUUGGCAUAUAGCCAUUUGCAUAUUUGCAUUCUGUUUACGUGAGUUAUUUCUGUGUAGAUGAGCUGGACAAGAAAUAUCUUUGCUUGGGUAUAAAUUGUUUAAUCCCAUCAUGCAUGCUCUGAUUUACUCCUAUGCAUUUUGAUAUAUCAACAUUCAAGAUAUUUAUUCACCAAGGGCAUUAGCUCUUUACAGUUAUUGUCCAAUAUAUAAGUAAUUAUAUUUCGAUGGUAUUUUUUGCCUAACAGCUUGGAGUAUUCUCCUCUCAAGUGUUUCAAGAAUCCACUCGAGAUAAAAUUCGGAGGAAAAAAUGUAAGGUGGUUUACUUUUUCAACAGAUUGCGUUCUAAAGCUUAUCAUCAACUUAAUUGUAUCUACUCUCCUAGCAGCAUUCACUUAUGACAUGGAGAAACAUUGUAACAUAGAGAUUGCUGCUCAGGUUUCGCAUGUCUCAUCUAGCCAAAAUGGUACCUGACUCCUUUUUUUCAUUUGUUUCCAUUGGUUUUUGAUAUUAUUUCAUGAUUGACAUUUUCAUAUCAUUAAUUUAUUUUAAAAUAUAUUGUGAUGCCAGUAUUUUCUGUUUUCUUGGAAUCAUCAUUACAUGUUAUUAAUACGUUUCUUUUCAUUUGUGUCGGAAAGAGUAACAGAGAACAUUCUGUUUUCCUUUGCAAAAUUUAACUUGUUGCCAAAAUCAUUCUUCUUAAAUAUAGUACUUUCUGAUCUUUCUUUCCAGAAUGAAAUAAGAUGUUGUUAUCGCCUUUUUUUUUGGUUGUAUCUCAUAUAUUAUUUAUGAUACAAUAGCAUGCUGAAGCUAACAUUGGUCCUCUACUUUUAUUAAUGCUUGAAGUGGCAUCAUCAUAUUAAAGUGAUGAAAUCUUUAAAAGUUAAGUCUGCGAUUCAACUGAUGUUCAAAUUCCACUAAGUUUAGUUCAGCAAUGUAUUAGAUAUGCAAGGUACUGCUUGAAUAUAUGAAAUAAUAUCAUUGCAGUCAAAUAAUUGCCUAUUCAUUCUCUACAUUUAAAUAUAAAUGCCAAGGUUUGCUGUGCUGAUAUCGGAGCCCGAACCAGUUGGCCGGCAGUACAGUUUGGUGUUGCUGACAGAUCGUUCCAUAUUGGGCUUGAGCUGAUGCAGUAGGGUGGAGGGAGAAAGAAAGAGAGAAAAGAGAGAGGGAGGGAGGAGGGAAGGAGAGGGAGAGAAAGCCUCUUAAGGCCUGCCAAGGCUACCGGAGGGCCAUUGCACCUGCUAGAGGGUUGGAGGGUCGGCGAGGAGGAGGGUGGGAGAAGGAAAGUGAGGAAAAGAGGGGGGGGGGUGUGCCUCUGAAGGCCGGCUGAGGUCGCUGGAGGGCCAGAGGCACCAAUCGAACUCGGGUCUUCUGCCCCUAUUUUGUGUUCUCUCUCUUUUUUUUUUUUUUUGAAGGGGGGAGGGAUAUUAGAUGAAGUCGGCAAUGCUAUUAUUGACUUCACUUAAUAACCCUUAUUUUGAUAGGCUGCCUCCAGCUCUCCAGCAGCCUCGACGGGUUUUCAAAGGCUUUCUCCCUCUCCCCUCCCCCUCUCUUUCUGUCUUUUUUUCUCUCUUUCCUUCUCCCUCCCCUCUUUCUUGCUGCCCCUCCAGCAGGUACGGCAGGCCUCCGAAAGCUUUAUUCCCCUCUUCCUCUCCUUCCCUCCCCCAUCUCACCUUUCCUUUCUUCCUGUCUCCCUCCCUUCUCCUUGCCGAUAUCUUGUUUCAAAUGUCAGAACGUUUUGGCUGCUGUCGGUAUGGUUCAGCACACCCUAAAUUGGGCAGUUCGAGAUGGUUCCACCUUCUUUGAUGCAUGCAAAUUAUAUAGGGUCAUCAUUUAUUUGUCAUUUGAAAUUCUUCUAAAUAUAGCUUUUGGCAAAUUUCAUGUUGGUAUUUUGUAGAUAGAUACAUCUAGGAUCCAUAUAUGAUAAUUUUGUGUAGGCUAAAUGGUUUCACCCUUGAUGCUGGUCCCAAGCUCUGGAUGAAACCUGUUGGAGGUCUAAAUUAGCUUGACAACAAGUCAGAAAAAAAAUUAACAUGUCAAGUUAAAAAUCAAGGGCAUCCCUUGAUUUAUUUUGAAUAACAUUAGUGACAGCCCUUAAAAAGUUAUACCUAGUGAAAGUGUACUCGUAAAGCCUGCCCCAAGUAGUUGGCAUGCGGCUUGAUUAUUAUGGCCAUGUAAAUGGUCUAUAAGAAAGCAUGGAGUUCCCAACUUUCUGGAAACUCACCAUCAUGUAUGCUGCUUAAAAUGCUUCCAAGUUGUUAGUAAUGCUAGAAGGUAUGGUAAAAUGUUAAUUUGUCGAAAUAGUACUGACAUAUAUAAAUGAAAUUGUUAAAUCAAUGAAUGAUUCAGAGGCCUUCACUAAGCUUGUCUUUUGGGCAUGUCGGCAAUAGGAUAGCUCCAUCACCUUUGUAUUUUAAGCUAUGAAGCACAGUUAUGGAAAUUGGAUAUGGAUCCUACACGAUAUGGAUAUUGCUAAUACAACAAAUCUUAAAAAAUCAGGAUCUGUCAAGAAAUAUAAAUAUAAAUGUUAAUGUAAAUGCAAAUAUAAAUAUAAAAAUAUGUAUAAAAAUAAUAUAGUCCAUACUUUCUAUAGUAGCAUUAACUUUUGCAAGCUUAUCAUUUAGUCACCAUCCCAUGGAUCAUAAUCCAUACUUCAUAUUUCGAAAUUAAUAUCAUAGACUGUGAAACCCUCAUUUUUUGGAGGUAUCAAGGAAGUGUCUGGAGUGUAUUUUCAUUUUUGAAAAAGAUGAUACUUAUUAGACACCUGAUGAAUAUCCAGUAAGUAUUGGAAUCCAAUUAUAGAAAUGGCGUGUAAUUUAAAGUAUCUGUACUUCCUACAUUUCAAGUUUGUGAUCUUACAUCGUACCAAUAGGUCAUGAUAUGCCAUAUAUUUUAGAAUCAACUAAAAUAACAUGGGCUUGUGCAACUAGGAGUCUAAGACUCAGGGUUGUGUGUUCCUAAGGAGAUGGACUUCAUUUUAUGCUGCAGUAUUGAGAAAGAGUACAUUAAGGAUUAAAGAACCAUUUGUGAUGUUUGUGCUAGUCACAUGCAUGCAGAGCACAUUGAAUAACAUGACAUGCCAUUCUGAGCCAUGUUCAUCAUGUGCUGACCAUGUAUCAAGGCUUGAUGGCACCAGUGAUUUUGUGUGGGCCCAUAUUGGUGCUGUGUUUGCAUGGAACGGUACCAUGCCACGACCUUAUUGGCAUGGUACAUAUUGUACAAUAUUGAUUGAUAUGGUACUAAAUAUUAAUUCAUGGAGUGGACAAAGGAUUUGGUGGUGCUUGUCCUAAUAUGGUAAAGCUACCUUUUUAUGGUCUGAUCACUUCAAGGAGAGGUCAGAUUAUCUUAUUUAUCCCUUUCCCUUUUUUUCCCCUCCGGAAAUUUCGUUUUAUAUUGGAAAAAGAGAUGGAAUAAAGAAAGAGAGGAAGCAUUUGUCGUUUCCUUAAGAUAAUAGUUAUGUUGAAAAUUUAAAAUAUUUGAGCCUAGGCAUUCAAGCUGGUUGCCUUGUUCAUAUUGGAGAGGUAUCCUUUUUUUGGGUAGAAGAAGCCCAUAGGUAAUUGGAUAUAGAACAAAACACACACAUACACACACACACACCUGAAAAAAAAAAGUACUAGUAGAGGUAGGAUUUGAACGUAGGCCUCCAUACAACUAUGAAGAGACUUCAAGAAUUUGGUAAGUUGGCACCAAGGUGUCAUUUGCCAAUAAGGUGAUGGAGAAGCAUGAACUGAAACUAUCCCAACAAGGCUGAUGCUCUAUCAUUCAGGAUCACUUCCAUGCCCUUUUUCUAUUCCUUUUCUCUCAAAUUUUUUUUAUGCCUCUUUUUGUGUCUUCAAAUUGAGUUUUAAAAAACCAGUAUGUUGUGUACGAAAUUUUCAUAUUUACAUGCAUGAACAUUCUAAGAUAUUAAGAGGAUAUGAGCCUUGGGACAGGUAAGGUUGCUUCAUUGCGACAUAAAUGUCAUAGUUUUGAAACAUGCAAUGAACCUCUCCACACACAAGGGUAUGGCUGUGCACAUCUGACCCUCUCCAAAACCUGCAAUGGCAGGAGCAAUGUGCCCUGGGUUGCCGUUUUUAAUAUUUAGGAACCUCGAGUUCUAUACUGGACCGACACUUGAUUCAUGAACAAUUGAGUCUCUCAAUCUACUUGCAGACUUGUUCUUUACCAUAUAUGAUGAAACAUGUCAGUAGUUAAUUUUUCUUUUUAAUUUAUAUGAUGAUUUGCUUCCAUCUUUUCUGUAACAAUGUGCGUAACUUUUUGCUUGGCUUUAUCGGCCGAAACUUUUCUUGGUAGCAGAUGGAGAUCAUGACCGCUAUCAUCUGGAUGGGUUAAUGGAGAGUCCGGCUGUGGAUGAUGAUGGAGAAUGCUUCUCACCCAUACUACUGAAUGCCACAUCACUGAACAUUGAGGUCUACUACAACAAGGCUGUUAAUUAUACACUCAUGGUUACAUUUGUAUCCUUCAUGAACAAGAAACUCAUUUCUUAGUUUUUUUUCCCUUUUUCUUUUCCUGCACCUUUUUCUUUAAAAGCCUUGACAUUUUAACGCACUAGAUCUCUUUUCUCCAAGUUCUGCUGCUGAUAAGACAGAUGGAGCAUAGCAAUACCCAAUCUGUAAGAUCUUCUUCUGGUUUCUUAUUGAAGAACCCAUUUCAUAUCUACAAUUAGGUGGUACAUUGUAUGUCCACAAUACAUGCCCUGAAUAUAUGGGAUAUAUUCUUUUUUUUUUUAAUUUGUCUGUUGUUUCUCUAUUCAUUUUUAAUACGUAAAACCUUUUACUCUUUUCACAGGGCGCUGCUAAAGUGUCUAUUCUAAUGAUUGGGCAACAAGCUAUUAUGGAUGCAUAUUUGUGUCUUUUACAUUUGACAGCUGGGAUAUUAGUUGGUGAGUGUCAUGCAUUUGGUAUCAUAACUUUAGCACUUCAGUAAUACAGCUCUAGAGGAAGCAAGUAAAGUUCUACAAAUGGAACCUUUUAGAAGUUUCUCUCAACAAUUUCAAGUCGUGAACUCUCUGUCAUUUUUUAAGUUCUAUUCCAUGUUAUUCAAUUUGAUAUCCGUAGUGGACAUUUAUUUUUAAUUUAUAGAUGCUUACAGUGGAAAUAUUGCUUCACCAGCUUUGAUAACUCAAGCAUAAGUCAAAAUCCAACAGCACCCUCUUCAUAUAUUAUCCCAAAUACUAUCGAGCAGCUACCAUCAUUCUUUACCAUUCCUUAAGUGCAUCUGCUUUCAUAUUCCACCUCAAAACUUUUAUUUGUGUCAUCAUUGGUCUUCCAUGCCUAUAUUGGCUCCUCAACAUAAAUUCAGACCAUCCCAUCUUAUCUUUACUGGAUAUGCUGAAAUCAUCUAAAGUUGAUUCGCCAACAAAUUGUCCUUAUCUGAUUCAACUCUUACUUUUUCUGCUAUUGAAUUAACCAUCCACCUAGCAUUCCUCUUUUUUUUUUUUUUAACCUUAAAAUCACUUAAAAGUUUUAUUCUACAAAAUCCUGGGCAAUUUUUUUUUUUUUUAAUUGUGUAUCUUUCUAUUAACUUUUGGAUGGCAUCCAGAUGUGUUGUUGUGGCUUAUCUGGGUGGCUGAGCAAUGAAGAAUUACAACAUUGUUAAGCUUUUUUUUCUGCACGAGUGAUCUGUCAGCAAGAAUAUGUCUAGUUCUUCUUGCCAGCACUAACUCUUCCUACUAAUGACAAUGAACAUCGAACUUGAUAACUAACUUCCACAUCAAUAAUUGUGGGCAAACUUAUAGUAUUGUACUGUUGCUACUCAUGAUCAGCCUAGAAGCUUGCCUAGUAGUAGAGGCAUAUCAACACGGAAAUAUAGCCUAUACUGCAAGGCAUGGAAUUGCAGCCGCAGCUUCUAAAAUUACAUGAGUAGUCCCUGCUUGUUCUUUAAUAUCAUACUAUGAGCAGACAAAGUUUGGUUUGGUGUUUUAUUGUGAUUUAGUUGGUAUAGAUGUAUUUUAUGUUUCUAUUCAACAGAAAUUGUGCUUCUGUGGUGGCUUCAUAAUGAUUUCUUAAAUUUCAAUAUAGGUUCAUUUCGUUGUCAUGGUAAUUCUGUUUUGUAAGUUCUAUACAUGUCACAUGUAAAGCUGCUGCCUUAUUUUGGAUGCUAAAGACAUCAACUUGUUCUGAAUCCUUGCUGAUCAUCCAAGUGUUGUGCAUGUUACCACAGCCAAAAUUUUUGUUACUGUUACAGUAUGUAUGUACAUGUGUAUGAUUUGUAGUUUUGUACACAAACAUAUGUAUGCAGCUAUGCAUGAAAAUGCGUGCAUGCAUGAUGAUGAUUUCUGAAUAUCUUUUUUACAGUAGAGCCAAGGUGGCAUAAGACUUUGUGGGGGAUCUAUGUUUAGUGUAAUUUUCAAGACAAGGCCACCGAGAUGCUUUUCUUUGACGGGAAUAAUAAGAGGACGAGGGAACAAUGCAUGGCCAACAGGGAAGAAGACCAUAUUUCUAUGUUUUUUUUUGGUAAAUUUUUAACGUAGAAUGUUAGAUCAACUUGAUGAAAACAUCAAUCAAACUUGCUGUUAAUUCCAUGGGACACUGAACUCAGAUUGUCAUUAUGAUAUUAGGUACCAUUUCCUGUGUUCCUCUUUUUGUGAAAACUGAAAACUACAUGGCACUUGCGGCAGGCCAGCAAUAUGGCAUACAUGUGUUAAGGAACACAGUUGUGGGAAUAUAAAUUUCUUCCCAAAGACCUUAACAUAUUUCCCUCUUGUAACUUGUAAAUCAAAAAAGGAAAACUUUUGUUUGCAGACAUUAGGAUUACAAUUGAGUUGCACUUGACUGUUUUACUAUAUCUAGGUUAUUCCUUUUUUAUUUUUCUUGUUAACAUAUAACAUUUUAUCUUAAUGUCCUUUUCUGAACUUUAUGGCUAAUCUUAUCCAAUUAUAAAUGUUCAUAGACUAAUUUGACUUGUUUAUGCUUACAGAGUCCCUAUUUAAUGCUUUUGCAACGGCCGCCUUCUUCAAAUUUGUUGUCUUUUCCAUUUUUGAGAUGAGAUAUCUUCUUGCUAUAUGGAAGGCUAAUAGACCUAUGAAUAAUGGUGAAGGUUGGGAAACAAUGAGGCGUGAACUGUCUGUGCUCUAUAGCCGUUUCUGUAAGUGCUCAUUCCGCAUUUAUAUUUUAUGUAAUCUCACUUAUAUCUAUUGUUGCUAACUUAAUGGAUGCACAAAAUACCUCAACUUCUAACUUCUUCAUUCUUGUUAGUGUUCACGUAGUUAGCAGUCUGUCACGAUUUAUCUUGAACUAUAUUACAUGUGUCUAGGUAUUUCAAUCAACAUGCAGACUCUUUAUUUAUGCAAAUGUACACAAAUAAUUUUAUAAUAUUGUCAAGGAAAAUUCUUCCAUUUCUUCACCCUUACAUUGAAAAUAGUUAUGUUCAACUCUUAUUGGACUUCAAAGCAAUACAAGGAAGAAAUAGGAGGUUAUAUUAGAAGGAAUAUCAGUGUGAAAACAUUUUUUUUAAAGAAAUGAAUGCAUUGUGCCUGAAGUAAGACUCAAGAGCAAAGUAAUUUUGUAUUUCUUUUGGCUGCAGAGGUUUGUUGAAAGAUGAGUUCUCAUUUUAAUAAAUCACAUUAAAGAACAAAAUCCAGGCUUAAUUUUGUUUAUAAAAAUUAAUUAUGCAAAGUUUUUGCAGAAGUGGAGUUAAAAUAUUUAUGCUUGGAUUUAUUUAAAAUUUGUUGUUCAGACUCUAUCUACAUUCAGUUUAACGAGGGCUUCAAGGAGAUAUUGUUAUUUAUCUGUGUUGGCUAACAUUUGGCAUGUUUUACCUUUGGAUAUAAUAAUUAUCAGAUGUCAUGGUUAAUUCUUUAAUACAAUAGUCUUUGUUUACCUUUGCCAUGUUCUACCUCUAAAGAUCUAAUAUUCUUAAAUAUGUAUAUCACAUGUUGCUUAACCAUUAUGGGAGUCUCAUGAUUGAUACAAAUAUUAAUGAACCGGAGUUUCUUGUAUCUAGGCAGUCUAGAAUAUUUCGCACCAGACAAAUAGGAGAAUGAUUUUUUGUUAUAAAAAUAAUAGAUCACAAAAUCAUUUAUAUGUAUUCCUAAUUUGAAGUUUAUUUAUUCUGAUUUAUCAUAAAGUCAAAGUGUGAUUGAAAUUCUUGAAUAAUAUGAAAGAAUGUUCCUACUACUAGAUUGAAUGUGUGUGUGUGUGUGUGUGUGUGUCUAUAUAUAUAUAUAUAUAUAUAUAUAUAUAUAUAUGUGUGUGUGUGUGUGUGNNNNNNNNNNNNNNNNNNNNUAGUGUGUGUGUGUGUGUGUGUGUGUNUAUAUAUAUAUAUAUAUAUAUAUAUAUAUAUAUAUAUUGUGUGUGUGUGUGUGUGUUUAUUCUUAUACAUGGCAUUUCUUUUUUUUUUUCUUUUCUGGCAUUGAAUUGGUAAUUACUUGAUUGUAUUAAUGGCAUGGUCUAUGGCUUUAUAGUUUUGUUUACAGCUUAUCCUUACAUGAAUUGUGAACUUGAUUUAACUUAUCAUAAUCCCUCCAGCAGUCAUAUAUUUCCUUAUAUGUAAAGAUGUAGGCCUGCUCGUGGUUAUUACAUGCCUGACCAAAUUGUUGUGCUUUGCAGAUGGCAUUCUUUUAGGAGGCAUUCUCGUCAUGUAUGAGUUGCACAAUUUCUUGCGUCCUAUUCUUUUCAUUUUGUAUUCCUUUUGGAUACCCCAGAUAACUAUUAAUGUCAUUCGUGAUACAAGAAAACCCCUGCACCCUCAUUAUAUAUUAGGCAUGACUCUCACUCGGCUUGCAAUUCCAUUAUACAUAUUUGGCUGCCCAAGCAAUUUCAUGCGUAUUGAGGUUGACACAAAUUGGUGCAUAUCGUUGGGAGUAUUCUUGGGCUUGCAAGCAUCAAUUCUCCUCCUUCAGCAUUACUUUGGUUCUCGGUGGUUUAUUCCUCGUCAGGUUUGAGUUUUCUUGUCAUUUUGUUUGAUUUGGAUUUUCUGAUACACGGGCUUAUGCCAAAGAAAUAUAAUUAUUUAUCAAUUAUGUUGCAGUGCAAUAGAACUAGGUAGUACUUAAGAUGAUAUUGAUAUGGCAAAUAAUAGAACUGACCGUGAGAAAAGAAACCUGUUUUUUAACACAAAUGCGUGGACUGAAAGGUUAUCAGAUAUGGUAGAAAUGCUCAGAGUUGGAAAACUAUAAACUACGUUUUCUAGUUUCUGUGCCAGCUUCAAUAAUGCACUUGAAUCAGUAUUGCUUAAUGUCUGGAAACCAUGAAGUUCUGGUACAUUACUGUUUUUUUAGUUAUAUUUUUAAAUCUCAUGGUCAACUACUGGCAGAUUCUGCCGGAGAAAUAUAGCUACUACAGGAGGCUUGAGAGUGAUACAACUCAAACUACUGAUUGUGUCAUUUGCAUGACUGCUGUCGAUCUUACACAGCGGUCAAAUGACUACAUGGUACUUAGAAAACUUUGCUUUCAAUUUUUUGGGACAUGCAAAAAUGUAAAAUUUACUUUGUUUUCUUGGAGGAAGUUGGGCUUAGUAGACUGUUAUCCUGCAGGUGACACCUUGUGAUCAUUUCUUCCAUUCGGGUUGCUUACAAAGAUGGAUGGAUAUAAAGAUGGAAUGCCCAACUUGCAGGCGUUCUCUACCCCCAGCAUAGGAUGGACCCUGCCUUGUAUUUAUAGAUGCAAUCAAACACAUUACCGACUCCAGAACAAAUCGCAUGGUAAUAAUUCGAGUGCCAGAAUCUUGUUUCAUCAUCUUUUGUUCUUUCUCUCAUCUGCUAGAUCUUUCGGGUCAGGAUGGAGAACCAUCUCAUACAGAGGAAAAGAAAAGUAGAUAGCUGCAGAGGCAGACAAGAUGCAUAGUCCGUGUAAUAUAUGCAACCCUGUAUCUUUUUCGGCUGGUCUUUGCUGGCGCAGUCUCAUCCCUGGUGCGCUGCUGUACAUUUGUGUUCCCAUGUAUUGUUUAGAAUGUUAAUCCAAAAACAAUUUGAAAAGCAGAAGAUCAAGAGCCAUGUUCAGUACGCGUUAAGAAUGUUCUUGAUGUAGUGGCAUCAAAAAAGGGGUAGGUGCUAUUUGAACUUGAUAUUCUAAAGCUCUAAGUGGUUAGAUGAUUUUGAUGGGGUAUGGGGAACUUGCAGCAAUUUCUCAUGGAGAUCUUGCUAUUUCUUGUAUGAGACAAUUUGCUUUGUUUCUUUAUGUGCUCUGUUUGCGGAACUAAGACCAUAUUCAGUUCAUUUAUAAAAAAAAACAUUUAAGUGGGUUCAUGGUAGGGCGAUUGAUUAUAUGGAAGCAGGUAGGAAGUAUUGAGUUGGGGGGUGCCAUUUGGAUAUGUUGUCCGAAUAGAUUCUACUAGGGAUGUCUUGAAACAGGACAAUACUGUAUUUUACAACAAUAAAAAGGAAAAGAAAUAUAAUAAUUUUGCCUUAUCCUGAAUAUAUUUAGGGUUCGUUGAGGCGACAUCUUUGUAGCCCAGUAUGGACGGGUGAAAGGUUGGUGGCGCGAGAAAAGAGGCGGGUCAUGAGUAAGAGUGAUGAUUGGAUCGGAUUAUAAAUAGAUCAUAUAUAGAUUGGAUUAGAAAAUAAUAAAUUUAAAUCUGACAUUCGAUAUGUUUAUUAAAUAGAUCAUUCAUUUAAUAAAUAAAUCAUUCGAUCUAUUUAUUAAAUAGAUAAUCUAUCUAAUUGAUUCGAUCUAUUUAUCAGUUUGUUUAAAAAAAUUAAUUAUUUUUGAACCUCUAGCCAAUACUAUUUGAAUUUUAAAAUAUUGAUUCAAAUCAAGAGAUAAUCCAUCUCAUAAUAUGAACUAUUAAUCAAUCAAACACAAAAUUAUGUAUCAGAAAUUCAACCAAAUCCACACAGAAUUAAAAAAAUAAUCCAACGAUUAACUUAAUCAACCAAAUAUGAACUUCUAAAUUGCACAUAAUAUGAAUCAGAAACUCACAUGAUAUGAACUAUUAAUCAACCAAAUCCACAAAUGAAACCCUAAAGUGAAAAAAACUAAUCCAAAAAAAAUUAUCAAAAAAAAUAAAGAAAGAACCGAUACAUAGAUUGAAAUGGGGGGGAGGAGAAGAGAGAGGGAAUGAACUCUUUAGAUCUCUACGGUGGGGCGGCGGUGGACGAGGGAGUCCUCUCUUUUUUUUUUUUUCUUCCUCCUACAGCUUCUCCGUGCCGCACACCCACAAUCGGCCCCUGCCCGCCCGCGCCGCACCCCUGCGGGCCCUGCCCGUCGCUCCUUCGUGGCCCCCGAGGGCCCCCCGCGUUGCAUCCCGCGUCUCCAUACGACCACCACCUCCGGCCCCGGCGAAGCCCGCACCCCGUGCACCCACGGCUCCGUGACUCGCACCGCCCCCCAGCCCCAGCGCCCACACCCGAUGCCCCACAGUCCCUCUCCUCCGCCCGUCUUCUGCCCUCACCGUCGGUACAGACGACCGGCGAAGCCUGCACCCCGUGCCCCCACGGCUGGGGGCUUCGCGCGACCCACACCACCCCCCGGCUCCGGCGCCCGCACCCGAUGCCCCGCAGUCCCUCCCCUCCACCCGUCUUCUGCCCUCACCGCCCUCACCGCCGGUAUAGACAAGAAAAAAAAAAAAACUGAGGAAGACGAAAUGGGGCAAGCGGAAGAGGAAGAGGAAAUGGGGGCGCCGCCUCAGCCAGGUCGAAUGGUCAUCCGUUGAGGGUUAGAAGAAAAAAAUGAACAAUCGGACAUUUUCAGCCUUUUCGGUCGCGCUUUACGUUUUAAACAAGCUACCUCCGAGCGGCCCCCGAGCCUUAGGCCUAAACAGGCUAUCAGAUCUAAGCAGGCCCGGCCCAAAAAAUUAAACUAAUUAAAUAGGUCAAAUAUUUACUAUGAUCUGAUUAUUAAAUAAAUUAAACAAAUUAAUUUAAUUACAUUUUAAAUUUAUUUAAUUUAAAUUUAAAUUUAUUUAAGAUAGACCCAAUAUGGAUCACAUUGAUAGAUCGGAUCGAUUUUUGCCAUCCCAAAUCACGAGUGUCGCCUGAUCACUACGAUAGAUUAUGUCCUCUGUCUCGUUUGCCUGUUUUCUUCCUCUUUUCCCCUUCCACGCUAUAUUUUCAUACCAUCCAAUGGGUUGCUGUCAAAUAUAUAUAGGGAGAGCAGGAUUUAGGUUGAUCGGAUUUUAACUUAGAUUCAGUCGGAUACUAGUUGGAUGAUGGAGGUCCAAUUUAUUGAUCAAAGGUAUCAAAUGUCUACUAUCUCUGUAUUGUUUAUAUAUUAAAAUCAUAUGAUUAAAAGAUUCCUCAUUCAUGCAUCAAGUGAUGAAAUUUUGAAAAAAUUAAAUAAUAUAAAAUAGUAUAUCUUUUUUUCCAUUUAAUACUGGAUUAGGAGUCCCUGAAUCAAUAUUCUAGAGAUAAUGAAUCAUAUCCAAUAUUUUAAAUUAUUAAUAUUGGAAUCAUAUUAUCCAAUCAGAUUGACCAAAUUUGAGUUGAAAUCUAACCAAUCGGAUCCUAUAUAUAGUAAACAUUAAAGAAUAAAUAAAAUAAAAGAAAAUUAUUGAAAACAAAAGGAAAUAAUACUGAAAUCAAAAAUAAAAUAAAAAGAUUAAUUUAGUAUAAAUAUAAAGAAGAAAAUAAUGAAUAUAGAUUAUGUCAUAAUAAUAAGAAAAAAGUAAUGAAACUAAUAGAAGCUUCCCAAAAGAAUUAUAGUGACCAUCAUUGUAAGAAUUACUUCUAUUAUUUAAUUAAUGGUUAUUUAAAAAUAAUAUAAAAGGUGAUUAUAUUCUGAUGGUUAUUGAAUUGUUAUUCCUUGCAUCCCUUUGCUUCGUCUCCAAAAGUUAGAAGGGAAAUCAGGAUCCAAUUCUCCAUUUUCUCAUUCUGAUUUCUUUUCAUUGCAUAAAACCACACAUGGUGUAAGUGUGUCGGCACUUAUCUAGGAAUUCUGUACUAUAGUUUAGGAUUCCUCUGAGAAGGAGAUUGUAGAAUAGGGAGGAGUAAGCUGAAGGUUGACUAUAAAAGGUUAUGAAGAAGUGUCUGAAGAAUUUGCAAUUUAAUGUAUCAGCCUACACUGGGAAGAAAAUAGAUAGAAAAUAUCUUGUGACAAACUUCAAUGAAAUAUAGAUUUGGGAGAAUGGCAAAGCCAGUCGAGAUGAGCAAUUUAAUGCUACAGUUUUUAAAACAACUGGAUUUGGAAAUUAACUAGCUAUGAUGCAUGUGGCUACUAAAAAUUUCAAAUUUAAGUAUAGAUUAGAUACUAAUAUGCUGUUGUUGUGGAAUUAUUUGGAAUUUGUCUAUAACGUUACAUUCUUGAUCUGGAUGAAAUUUCUAUGCUUUCUAUGGCAAACAAAUUGUAAUGAAUUUAGACUAAUCACAAUUUAGAAGAUUUUUUUACCUUGGACUUCUUGUUCUCAACAUCUAGCCAAGCAUCCAGCUAUUUUUUUUAUAGAAGUUCAGAAUUGCUUGAGGCAAACAUCUUAGUCAGGUUACCGUAGAACUUGAAAAGUUGAAGAAUUUAACUGCUUUAUGUAGGUUUUGGUUAGAUCGGAUUAGAAUUUAGAUUAAAAUUAGGAUAUGGUAGAUGGUCAGAGAUAUUUGUCAUAUAGUUGCUUGUAUAAUCCAUUAUUCUAUGAAAAGGCAGAGAUCAUUUUUCCAUCAUAUGCUGAAAAGUUUCAGCAUUUUAUUAUGUCAAUAUAAUGUAUUGUCUUCCCUUUUUUUUUAAUAUAUUUUUAACAGGAAAGGUAGGAGAUGCGGCAAGAGAAAGGCAGAACUGAGCCUCUUUCCUGGAACGCUAAAGGCAAGAUUUUUUUUGUAUGUCCAUUUACAAGCAACAAAUACGGAGCAAAAAAUUAUGCCGCAACAAAUACUUAGCAACCCGAAAAGUUCCAGAUCGUCGAAGGUCAACUCCAUGAAUGCGUGGCAGCACGACCGAGUUUUCUAGUCUCUAGAGACUCUCCAGUCAACCCGCCGCGACAGAGGGAGGUAAUUGGUCUCUCCUUCAUCCCAACGCCCAGCUUACUCUAUCACCAUUUUAGUUGGCGCAUCUACUCCUCUUUGCUCUCCCGCUGGAUUCCAGAGCACGAUCUACCGACAAUUUACCCCGUGAUUGGUGACGCCAUUGGACCACCCAACACUUCCGGUCCCCAGCCCCGCCUCCCUCUCAUUCUCUCUCCCCAUCCCCUCAGAAAAAAAAAAGAAAUCACUCCUACCCGCGUCAUUUCAAGUCAAAAGAAAAGAAAAGAAAAGAAAAUUCCGCUCGCUUUCAGACCCGCUGGCCUCCAGAUAUGUAAUUAUUUCUCUUUCAAGUCCGGAAUCUAAUUUAAACUACUCGACACGUGAACUGCUACUGCUGCGAUGCUAAGCCCCUUUAAUCACACUCUUAACUACUAUAAUGAUCUCCCUCUUUCGUCGUAACAAAGUUAUUCACUACUUAGCCGAUCUCAGGCCUCCCAUCGCUCAUCCCCUGUGGGGAAAUAAAUACCCAGAGAUUGAGAAAGAGAGAGAAGGAAGAUAGGGUUUAUCUCCGCUUAAAGAAAGAGAGAAAAAAGAGGAAUUGGAAAGGCCAAGAGAGAAAGCGGAGCAGCAAAAUGCUCGGAUCCCCCAUUCUCCGGCUGCUUGUGCUCCACAUCGCUCUAUCGGCCACUGCUCUUGGCGUUUCGGCAGCCUCCAAAAACGGUAAACCUCACUUUCCGUUGAGAUGGGUGCUUGAGACUUUCUGCAUUUAAGCCUGAAUGGAAAAAUUCUGCCAAAAAUUGCUGCUCCUCUGGCUGCUAUAUCGAGAAAUUUUUAUCCUAAUUGUGGAUUCGAAGGAGCUUUCUUUGUUCCUUCUUUCCCUUCUUGGUUGUGUCCCGAAUUAUUCUAUUUUCAUGUCAUGCGUCCUCCAGAGCUAAACCCCGUAGAAGGCAUUUCUAGAACUGGUUCUUUCUUAGAUAGAACCACACCGCCUACAUGUCGUGCUGAAUUAGUUCACUGGAUCUAUAGUGAACACUGUUGCAUGGAAAUGGGAAGGUGCUGAAAUGUAGCUAAUUGAAAGGAAAGAAUAUGCACUAAAUAAGAUAGGUUCGAGGCCACAUGACCAGAAGUAGUGGUGUCUUGGUCAAUCGACUCUUACCAUAUCGAAUAGGUUGGCCGUGUGCAAUUCGUUAUUUCAUUUUAAAGUAUAAUUAUCUGGAUAUGACCAUCUUUGUUCUUACAUGUUUUAAAUCUUAUGUUUAUUUUUUAUCAAUGAUUUUAUGACUAUACAUAUGUUUUUUUUUUUUUAAACUAACUACUACUGUCACUACGGCCACUCCAAGAUUCUUGGAAUUGAUCCUGCAAACGUUCGAUAAAAUUGUUUUUGUAUUAUAUUUGGUAUAAGGAACUUGUCACAAAAGGAAUGUUACCAAGAGUUGAACGGUUAUAUAUAUUUUGUCCUCGAUUAGACUUGGGAUUUAGUGUGUUUUCUUUGCAGAACCCUUUGCGAUUCGGAUAAGCUGUGGUGCUCGUGAGAAUGUUCGAACACGGCCUACAAAUGCCUUAUGGUAUAAAGACUUCGGUUAUACUGGAGGAAAAUUUGCAAAUGCAAUAAGUCUGAUUUCCAUUGCCCCUCCACUUCCAACUCUUAGAUAUUUUCCCCUGUCUGAUGGCCCUGAGAAUUGCUAUAACAUCAACCGUGUUCCUCGUGGACGCUAUGCAGUGAGAAUUUUCUUUGCUCUUGUUAAAGAUCCUAAUCUUGAGAGCGAGCCUCUUUUUGAUAUAUCAGUUGAUGGAACCCAAAUUUAUUCUCUAAGGUCAGGCUGGAGCAAACUUGAUGACCAGUCAUUUUCUGAAGCUCUAGUUUUUGUUCCAGAUAUGUCUGUGUCUGCUUGUUUCCAUAGCACUGGUCAUGGAGAUCCAUCCAUCCUUUCAAUUGAAAUUCUUCAAGUUGAUGACAGAGCAUAUUAUUUUGGUCCAUUAUGGGGUAAGGAUACAGUACUUAGAACAGCUAAAAGAUUGACUUGUGGUUCGGGGAAGCCAGCAUUUGAUGAAGAUUAUGAUGGAAAUCAUUGGGGUGGUGAUAGGUUUUGGUUAGGAACGUCAACUUUUGCCGCAGGAUCUGAUCAGUCUAUAUCAACAGAAAAUAAAAUUGCCCAAGCAUCAACUUCACCGAACUUCUACCCAGAAAAGAUUUAUCAGUCAGCAAUUGUGAGCACUGAUAGACAGCCUGAUCUGUCAUUUCAAAUGGAGGUGGAUCCGAACAAAAAUUAUUCAAUAUGGCUUCACUUUGCUGAAAUUGAUGCCAGAAUAAAAAGCUCCGGAGAGAGGGUCUUUGAUGUACUGGUAAAUGGUGAUGUUGCAUUUGAAAAUAUUGACAUCAUUCGCAUGACUGGGGAAUGUUAUGCAGCUCUUGUGCUGAAUAGAACUGUUGCUGUGAAAGGGAGGACGCUAACAAUAACCUUGCACCCUACAAAGGGAAGUCAUGCCAUCAUCAAUGCAAUUGAGGUCUUUGAGAUUAUUGCAGCGGAGCACAAAACUGCAGCAGAAGAAGGUAUGUGUGCCACGUGGUGAAAGAUUAGCAUUAUUUUCUCAUUGACUUAACAAAUUUUAUGCAUUGCCUUCCAUGUGGAGAUAACGAUGCUGAUACAUGAAAAUUUAGUGCAUCAACAUCUCCUCAUGCCUAUUCUUUUAGAUAUUUUUCUUUGACAUGCAAUUCUGACCUAAAAGUUAUGCAGGGUUAUUUUUUGUCAUUUUGUUUUCUUUCAAUUCAGUUCUACAUUUUGUCCAUGUGUUCAUGAGGUAGACAUUCAUCAUUCUGCAUGAAACUUGUAAUUUGUUAUCUAAUUACCAUCUAAAUAUAUUAUUAGUUACUGUUAAUAAGAAUGCAAAGGUCAUUGGUCUAUAUUUGGACUGAGAUUUGAGAUGGACUUGUGAUUCUGUUUCCAUCCUAAUAGUGUGGACUAAUCAAUAAAUAAUCACAAAUGUAUAAACAUUUAUUAGGGCUAAGCAAAUAACCGAAAUCCGAAGAAACCCACCCAAUCCGACCCAAUAAACAUCGGUUUCAGUCUGUUGAAAGAUAUAUAUUGAGUGGAAUCGGGUUGUGGUUUGUAAAAAAUCGAUUAUUUACGGUCGGGUUCGGUUCCUAUACUUUUAACCCAUAUGAAAUUGAAUCCAACCGAUGUGGUAUUUCACAAACUCACUUUCAUUUUGGGACGGCAUCGUUUAGACUUCAAUACUUCAUUCUAAAAAACACCCUAUCACCCAUUUGGAUUAAUGAGAAUAUUAAUGUUGAAUUGCUGAUGGAAGCACAUCAUUUUGAGAUAAUUCUAAAGUGAAAACUUUUAGAUGUAGUUACUUUCAGAUGAGUAAAUCUUUUUUUUUCUGUUGUCUUGUAUAGGUUCAAAAAUAAGUCCAAAAUUUGUAACUUACAAGGUUUGGGCUUUUUUUUGCAUUAAAUUGACAAAAAAAAAAGGCAAAUAAGCUUAAGUGGGCUAAUAUUGGACUUAAAAUCAAUAUUGGAUCAACAUUAAAGUCCAAACUGAUACAACCCAUCCGAAUCUGCUACAAACCGUUCACUUCAGUUUCAAACGGUUUAUACAUGAUAAACGGUCGACAGCGGGUUGAAUAUUCUUUAAUCCGAUAGGGUUUGGUCAGAUGAAAUUUUUCUCUCAACCCGAUUGAAUCUGAUCAAAUCCGACUCAUGCUCAGCCCUAACAUUUAUGCCAAGGACUUGCACAGGAAAUUUAUGGAAAAAAACCAUGUCGGAUAGGAUUCUGAUCCCAUACUUUUCAGAUGUUAUCUAAAUUCACAUUAAUAUAGUGUGCUAGAAUUUUGUCGAAAAUGCACCAUUGGAAAAGAAAAUGUCCCACACCACUAGGAUGAAUACAAGUUAGGAAGAUUUGGAUGUCCCUUGGGAAAUGUGAACGGAAUGCUUAAUUAGGUUAGAUUUAAUAUGCUUGCUUGCUUUUUAAUAUAAAGUAGAAAGCCUCUAAGUGCGUUCACACUGAACUGCAAUUAGCCGGCUUUCUCCUUUUUUCCAGUUGUUGCUAACUAUUGGAGGCAUUGCCGACAUCACCUGCCCAUUAUCAUUUUAACUUCUAAGCAAAUGUAAUGCAUGGUUACUUGUUCUGUUUUAGAUGGUCCUGUCAUAGUUGCUGAUUACUAUGCCGAAAAAGUAGUGGCAGAGAAAAUAUCUUCCCAAGAGUUUGUAAUAUACCUUGAUUCAUUUUUUUGAUAUUUUGUUGGCUGAAGCUGAUAGUACCUUCUUUUUCGGAUUAGUGAAGGUGAACAAAAAUGUUAUCAAGGUGACUUCUUGUUUUGUUGUUUGUUUCAUAUUUGAUGCUUUGUUAGGAUUUGUAUGAUUCAUUAUCUUGUUAAAUUGUGUCUAAUUCAUUUCAAGAUGGCCUUCCAUAGUUAGAGCUUUGCAAAAUUUGAAGAGCUCCCUGGGGCUUCCUCUUCGUUUUGGCUGGAAUGGUGACCCAUGUGUUCCCCAACAACAUCCUUGGAGUGGAGUGGACUGCCAAUUUGACAGUAAAACUGGCCAAUGGGUCAUAGAUGGACUGUAAUCUCUCAACCUUAAAAUUGCUUAGUAUAUUUAGAUAUUGGUUCUUGUCUUUUCUUAUGGUAAAAAUAAGCAGUAUUGACAGGCUCAGCAGGUCUAAACGUACUAGUUUGCUAGCCAAAAUCUAAAAAUUAAACAAGAUUUGAACUAUGGAUCAAAUGUUCAAUUUACUAGAAAUUAACUAUAUUUUGAAAUGCAUCAAAAAGUAUCAUAUAUGUCUUUUAAAAUUGUUUUGCUUAGUGACUGACAAAUUAGAGGUUGUUUGUCUACCAUUUGAAACUUUAGGAGCAAGUCUUGGAAUCAAAUUAGUUGUUGAGGAAUGGAGCCAUUUCCAUACAAUUGUAAAUGGCAGGCCCUCCUCACAAGAGGCCAUACUAAAGCUUAAUGGUUAUUUCUGUGGUCAUUGUAUGCAUGCAUGUUAUGCUCAGGCUGUGCAUGUAUACACUUGUAUGCAACGCCCGCAAGCCAUGUAACUAAUUCAAGAGGAAGGAGUCUGAUGGUUGGCUAGGUCAGGUUGGCCGUAAUCCCAUCGGCUGAUUAUAUGAUUAAGAUUAGAUUGUGUAUUUGUAGAAGUGAGCAUCAGAACCUCAAGCAAAUAUCCAUGCUAAGAUGUUUGCAUUAUUGCAAUUAACUUAGUUUUAUCUCUCUCCAAAAUAGGUCUAGGCUUAUGAGUGCAGUGGUCAACACUAGAGAUGUGCUUCAUAACAUUGUUGAUGUUGUACACGUUAGGUUGAUAUUCUGGGAAGCUUGUAUUUUAGCACGUCCCUCCAAAUGCUGUCUCCUGCACUCUUGUACUCUAGAAUAUAUCCAGCUCAAGCAUUGCAAAACUUACUGCUGCAUUGUUAGGUAAGGUUAUAUUAUUCGGUUGGCAUCUGCUGGCCAUAGACUGCCAACCUAUGUGAGUCUUUUUAUGCUAGAUUCAACUAUGAUCAACACUGAAAAGCACACUGAUGUGACAAGUAUAACAGGUGUUAGAUGUCUUUAAGUGAGAAGUAUGCAGAUAUGAUAGUGCUGGUUGGAAUGCUUCAUGAGCUGUCAUACCAUUACUGGUGGUUGUCAUUGCCAUCUAAAUCAUUUGGAGGCUUACACUAAUAGCCUUAAAUGCCAUUAGGAUGUCUCUUGGAAGAAGGUACUAAAUGUCUUAUGGUGUAGUUUUCCUAAUUUCUGCAUUUAAUUUUAAUCAAUAAAAGAAUGUUGUUAGAUUAGUCAAAUGAGGAAAAGUCAAAAGGAUAUGGAGGAAUCAAGCACCUUGAUUUCUACAUUUGAUCUAAUGUAAGAUAAUAAUCUCGGGUUGCUGUCACUUCCAUUUUUUGAGUCAAACUACUGACCUCCAGAUUUGGUACCCAAAUUUUUCAUUGAUUUGGAUAAUUGGAAGAUGAGAUACCAUCAAUGUCUACAUGUAUCUUUCUAUCUCUAUAUAAAUCCACAUGCACAUGCGUAUAAACACCUAUAGACAUUUAUAGCUAUACACAUUAAUUCACAAUGUCUAUAGCUUUUUAUAACUUUAGGUUUAAAUAUUCAACUAUUCAGCAUAUAUAUUUGGUCGUUUGAGUAAAUGUAGAUUAUUUUCUGAAUAUGCAGAGGUCUGGACAACCAGGGUUUGAAGGGUUUCUUGCCGAAUGACAUUGCUAAACUGCGGCAUUUGCAAAGCAUGUGGGUUCUUCAGAUUGUUGCAGUCUAGUGUACAAAGCCUGCCUGAUGAUAUUUACACUAUUUAAUUUGCAACAUAUAUAAGUCUAUCACUGUUACUUUUGUUAGUAAAUGGUUCCUACAUUCACAGAAUUAUUAUAAUAUGAAAAUGCUUAACCUUACAUUAAUCUAUAGCAAAUAUCUUGUCUGUGCAAUUUUGUUUAAUCACAAUAGUUGACUUCAUUAAUUUUUUCAUAACAUAAUUUCUCUACUUUUUCUCUUAACAGAAACUUGAGCGACAAUAGCAUCCAUGGUGGCAUUCCAUCCUCUCUUGGUGCUAUUACUGGGUUAGAAGUAUUGUGAGUACAUGCCUAUCACUGCAUGUCAUAGCUAACACAUUGUGAUGCUAUUACGUAUAGGCCAAUAGUUAAAUGAUUGCUGAUAACAGAAGAGCUGAUGCAUGCUAGAUCCUACUGAAAAAUAUGCUUUGUUUCUUCCUGUUGAGUUUGAGUUGAUCAUAGAUUGCCAAAUUACAUUGUAGAUAACUUUGAAAACUUUGGUACUUCACUUGAUACAUCGUUCUUUUUUGGGCCACUUUCAUUUUUUUCCAGCACAAGCUUUCUAAAGAACAACAACACAGGAGAAGCAGUCAUACAAAAAUUUAAAGACCUGGAUUCUAAAGAAAAUUACUUCCAUUUAAAAUAUUUGAAAACCUGAUAUCUCCAAGAACUUUGUCAGGCUUCAUAUCUGUUUCCAAGAGCUCAUUUUACUUAUCUUGCUGAUUUGAGCUGUUUUCUCUCCUUGAGGCAUCUCAAAUGCAAGUGGACACUGAAGUCUUUCAGGUUUUAAAAUGUCUGACACAGAUGUUAUUAGAAAGCAUGAAUUCCUUUUAAAAAUCUGUUUCAUGCAUCUGGCAUGCAAGGUGAAAAUUAGACUUAAAAACAUCCUUCACCAUCCUCCUUUGGGCAGACUUUUAUGACACACAAUAAUGCAAUAUAUUUUUGUGAGUUAGUUGUAAAACAAAACAGAACCGAAGCUGAUAAUAAAAAAGGAAAUUACCAGCAGAUGCAAUAAUUAUGGGAGUGUGGAAACAGCUACAAAAUGCAAGAGAAUGGUGAGGAAGCUCAACCAAACACUGAUUUUGGCUUAGCUUCUGGCACAUCAAACUGCUUAAAAAAGGAACUAGUUAACAAGAACCUUGCAGAAACAUGUAUAUGUUAUAUUAUAAUAUUACAAAGAGCACUUAUGUAAUGAUAACCGUAGUAAUGGUUAGACAAUGCUGCUCGGCAUUAUUUCUGGAGUCUUUCCAUUUUGCUAGCCAGUUGAAGUUUUGAAACUUCUUUGACUUGCAAGAAGUGAAUCCUUGGAUUGUGUGGAGCCAUGUAAGUCCUCAAACUGUUCUAGCAGUAGAAAAUCAGAUUCUGCCACUUUCAUGGCUAGAUAAAUCAUUCGACCAUUGUAAGAACAGAGAAGUGAACCUUCUCUAGCAUGAUGGAUCAUUAAUUCUAACCCUAGAUCGUGGCUUCACGAUCUUGAAAUCAAAGCUAAUCAGUGCUCAUUACUCAUGGAGCCCUUCGAUGAUUGUCAAAUAUAAGAAAAACCAUCUAGGUUUGUUAUAGUAAAUUUCGGUGUCUUAUCCCAUUUUUUGGGUCAGUCAAGGAUCGGUAAUUGUCAGGUUCCUUCCGAUCAACUCGUUCGAAUAUGCGAGCCUGUAUGUAAUUUCUAUGAUUGGGAUUUCCUUUUGUUUAUUAAGAAUAUCUCAUAUUCACUACUCCAGUGGAUUUAUUUCUUUGGUCAAACUUUAUUUUGGUCACCAAUUUUAUAAUUCUUAAGUUCCUAUAUAUUACCUCAAAACUAGAUGGCCUCUAUCUCUUGAUAUAUAACCAUUUGGACAAAGAGAAGAUUAGAUUCGUCCAAUUUGUGUUAUAGGAUGAAUGAGCCUGUUGCGGAGCCAUUUCAUUUACCUUUGUUAUUGAUUUUUCUUUUCUCAUUGCUAUCCAAGCCUUUAUUCAUCAAAUAAAUUUUAUAUGUAAGUAUUAACCGUCCAGAAUUGCUUUACAGGGACCUCUCGUACAACCAACUCAAUGGCUCAAUACCGGAGAGCCUUGGCCGGCUGACAUCAUUACAAAUACUGUAAGGAGAAAUGCUUAAUAAUCUGAUUCUUUUGGACAUGGUCCUGGAUUGAAUAGAAGCACUAACCAGUUGUUCUUCAGAAAUCUCAAUGGAAAUUUUCUAUCUGGAAGAGUACCGGCCGAUCUCGGAGGAAGACCUCUUCACAGGGCUAGUUUCAAGUAAGAAAUUGUGAACGAUGGCUAUCAGCUUUUGCCUAUCUAAGUUAUGUUUAAGAUGCUACCAUUAAAUAUAACAGUAGGCAUAUGUUGUCCUUCAAAGUAGCUCAACAAUGUUUAAUGCUCUUUAACCAACUUCCUAUCGAUAUGUAAGCAAAAGACUAACUCUGAUCUUGAGGAUCACUUAUUUAGACCCUCUUCAUAUUAGUCUGACUUGUUAUUCAAAGUUAUUUUAUGCUAAGGUAAGAUUUUGGUAAUAAUUCAAUUCAGAAAUAGUAAUGACCUUUUGUUCAGAUGGUAAGGAUCAUCAAUUAUGUAAAACAAUUUUUACUUAGUAAGUGAAUUUGUUUAACUGGUUAUUGUAUUUCCUUUAUUUAGUGAUCGGAUUUUGAUGAGCUGAGAAUAUUAAUAUCAGGUUGAUAUGCCAAAUAUUAUAUUAAUGUUCUUCCAAUCAUAUGCGCUUCAAUUCUGCCUGUUGAGUGACUUUGAAGAUGUGAGAGACCUUAACCCCUCAAGUUCAGUUUGGAUCACUUCUCACCGAUCGAUAUAGGAGUGAGCUGACUGCCCGUGAUCUCUCCUGUGGUCCAAUUUAAAAAUUAUGAAAGACUGCAAUAUCUAAGGUUCCUCUUUUGAUAUAUACAGUCCCCUAAGUUUUUUCUCCUAAGACAUUAUUGAGAGCCUUGAUGAGAGUGCAUCAGGAAAGAAGUAGUUUUUGAUACCAACAAUGUAAUCUUACAAAGAUGGAUGACGCAUCAUGAAGGACCAAAAUUUCCAAAAUCUUACAAUCUUCAAUUCAAAUUCCUUUAUUCUUCCAUCACAAUUGUCUAUUGUUUAGCCCUUCAACAAACCUCUCAUAUUUCUCCACGAUUCAAAUGCCUUCCAUGAGAGGUGACACACCUGUAUAACUCUCUGUGUGUUCACGUAUUAUUACAAAUCUGUAUUACUCAGAAAUGCAUCAAAGUACCCUUCAUCAUAGCGUUUCUCUAUCAUGAAUGAUCAAUAGAACUUUGAAAGUAGUCAUUUUUAUAAUAAUCCAAUCUCAUAUAUUGUGAUAGAUUUAGACAACUGCAUGUAUUCCAUUUGUGUGGUUCAAGUUUUAAUUACAUUAUAGUUAGUUAUCCUGCUGUCAAUCUUGUUCCAUAUGGAUUACCUGGACAUAGUACUAAAAUUGUUCCCACAAAAUUAUGUGCUUGUUUCUUCUUAAUAAAUGCUUCUAUUCUUCAUGCUGGUGUGUGGAAAUGGUAUUCUCUGCGCAAUCAAGAUGCUUAUGUGGCAUGUGCAGCUUUACUGGUAAUGCAGGUCUAUGUGGAAUUCCUGGGCUACCAACAUGUGGGCCCCAUAUGUCUGUCGCUGCUAAGGUCGGUAUCGCAUUUGGGGCUUUGGUUGCAUUAUUACUGCUACUUGUCUGUCUAGCAUGCUGGUGGAAAAGGAGGCAGAACAUCCUUCGGGCUCGGAAGAUUGCUGCUGGUAAGAAGCUAGGAUGAAUAGUGGAAGAGAGAUUACCUGACUCCUUUGUUGCACUUUCUAAGACUCAAAAUGGUCUUCCUGUCCUGCAGCAAGGGAAGCUCCGUAUGCAAAAGCAAGGACUCACUUCACGCGUGAUGUGCAAAUGACCAAGCAUCAUCGUGUGCACGACCAGUCUCGAAAUCCAACCGAGAGCGGGCCACAUCUACUCUCUUGAUUGACUGGAUUGCUUGUUUAUAUUUGCUUCCUUCACUGUUUUUUCUUUUCUUUUUCUUUUUGUUUUUGCCCUUU
rnacentral:lncRNA from 1 species